rnacentral:rRNA from 1 species
AUUACUGGGCGUAAAGCGCGCGUAGGUGGUUCAGCAAGUUGGAUGUGAAAUCCCCGGGCUCAACCUGGGAACUGCAUCCAAAACUACUGAGCUAGAGUACGGUAGAGGGUGGUGGAAUUUCCUGUGUAGCGGUGAAAUGCGUAGAUAUAGGAAGGAACACCAGUGGCGAAGGCGACCACCUGGACUGAUACUGACACUGA